AGCAGCCGCGGUAAUUCCAGCUCCAAUAGCGUAUAUUAAAGUUGUUGCAGUUAAAAAGCUCGUAGUUGAAUUUCGGGGUUAGUAGGCUGGUCGUGCCACUGGUAUGUACUGGUCUUACUGACUUCUCCUUUCUGAGGAACUGUAAUGCCAUUAAUUUGGUGUUGCAGGGAAUCAGGACUGUUACUUUGAAAAAAUUAGAGUGUUUAAAGCAGGCUAACGCUUGAAUACAUUAGCAUGGAAUAAUGAAAUAGGACGUUCGAUCCUAUUUUGUUGGUUUCUAGGAUUGACGUAAUGAUUAAUAGGGAUAGUUGGGGGCAUUAGUAUUCAAUUGUCAGAGGUGAAAUUCUUGGAUUUAUUGAAGACUAACUACUGCGAAAGCAUUUGCCAAGGAUGUUUUCAUUAAUCAAGAACGAAAGUUAGGGGAUCGAAGACGAUCAGAUACCGUCGUAGUCUUAACCAUAAACUAUGCCGACUAGGGAUCGGAUGAUGUUAAUUUUUAAUGACUCAUUCGGCGCCUUAA
rnacentral:rRNA from 1 species